rnacentral:rRNA from 1 species
AAUGGAAAGCCCGGUACAAGCGAGGUACCAGUAUGGUAGGAAAAACCGCCAUGCAAUGGGAAGACGUGAUGUGGAGUGAAAUAUAGUAACGAAGCCCGUGAGCCAUGCGUCAAGAAAAGCCGCUAUUGUUUAUAUUGUACCCGUACCGUAAACCGACACAGGUGGAUGAGGAGAGAAUCCUAAGGCCGGCGGAAGAAGUAUUGCCAAGGAACUCGGCAAAAUGGCCCCGUAACUUAGGGAGAAGGGGUGCCUGCGAGAGCAGGCCGCAGAGAAUAGGCUCAAGCAACUGUUUAGCAAAAACACAGGUCUAUGCGAAACCGAAAGGUGAGGUAUAUGGGCUGACGCCUGCCCGGUGCUGGAAGGUUAAGAGGAGAGGUUAGACGCAAGUCGAAGCUUUGAAUUUAAGCCCCAGUAAACGGCGGCCGUAACUAUAACGGUCCUAAGGUAGCGAAAUUCCUUGUCGGGUAAGUUCCGACCCGCACGAAAGGCGUAAUGAUUUGAGCGCUGUCUCGGCAAUACAUCCGGUGAAAUUGAAGUGCCAGUGAAGAUGCUGGCUACCCGCGCCAGGACGGAAAGACCCCAUGGAGCUUUACUCCAGUUUGGCACUGGGGUCCGGUGUUGCAUGUACAGGAUAGGUGGGAGGCUGAGAGAUAGUGACGUCAGUUGCUAUGGAGCCGCUGUUGGGAUACCACCCUCGUGAUAUUGGGCUUCUAACCAGCCGCCGUGAACCGGCGGUGGGACAAUGCCAGGCGGGGAGUUUGACUGGGGCGGUCGCCUCCGAAAGGGUAUCGGAGGCGCCCAAAGGUUCCCUCAGAAUGGACGGAAACCAUUCGAAGAGUGCAAAGGCAGAAGGGAGCUUGACUGCGACACCGACGGGUGGAGCAGGUACGAAAGUAGGGCUUAGUGAUCCGGUGGUAUUAAGUGGGAAUGCCAUCGCUCAACGGAUAAAAGCUACCCUGGGAUAACAGGCUUAUCACUCCCAAGAGUUCACAUCGACGGAGUGGUUUGGCACCUCGAUGUCGGCUCAUCGCAUCCUGGGGCUGUAGUAGGUCCCAAGGGUUGGGCUGUUCGCCCAUUAAAGCGGUACGCGAGCUGGGUUCAGAACGUCGUGAGACAGUUCGGUCCCUAUCCGGCGUGGGCGUAGGAUAUCUGAGAGGAGCUGUCCUUAGUACGAGAGGACCGGGAUGGACGGACCGCUGGUGGACCGGUUGGCUUGCCAAAGCCAUGGCCGGGUAGCCAAGUCCGGAAGGGAUAAACGCUGAAGGCAUCUAAGCGUGAAGCCCCCCUCAAGAUGAGAUAUCCCAUUCUUUAAGAAGUAAACCCCCUUGAAGACGACGAGGUAGAUAGGGCAGAGGUGGAAGUGUGGUAACACAUGGAGCUGACUGUUACUAAUCGGGUGAGGGCUUGACC